rnacentral:rRNA from 1 species
UACGUAGGCAGCAAGCGUUGUUCGGAGUUACUGGGCGUAAAGGGUGUGUAGGCGGUUCUUUAAGUUUGGUGUGAAAUCUCCCGGCUCAACUGGGAGGGUGCGCCGAAUACUGAGGGACUAGAGUACGGGAGAGGAAAGUGGAAUUCCUGGUGUAGCGGUGAAAUGCGUAGAUAUCGGGAGGAACACCAGUGGCGAAGGCGACUACCUGGCCUGUUCUUGACGCUGAGGCGCGAAAGCUAGGGGAGCAAACGGG